GGUGACGGCUGCUUGCGACUAGAAUGGGACUGUGGAGCAGUGCCACGGUGCAGUGUAGGAGGGGCUCAUGAGCAGGAUCUGUUGCUGGCUAAUUCCUGGUUGGCCCCUCUCUCGUCGAGGUCUCCUAUGCUGCUUGUCUGCGUCGCCAGGGCGCAGCUGGAGAUGCAUCUGCACUCGUGCAUGUCCAGUGGCACUCAAUGGUGUCUGGUGACGGCUGCUUGCGACUAGAAUGGGACUGCGGAGCAGUGCCGCGGUGCAGUGUAGGAGGGGCUCAGGAGUGGGAUCUGUUGCCGGCUAAUUCCUGGUUGGCCCUUCUCUCGUCGAGGUCUCCUAUGCUGCUUGUCCACGUCGCCAGGGCGCAGCUGGAGAUGCAUCUGCACUCGUGCAUGUCCAGUGGCACUCGACGGUGUGUGGUGACGGCUGCUUGCGACUAGAAUGGGACUGCGGAGCAGUGCUACGGUGCAGUGUAGGAGGGGCUCAGGAGCAGGAUCUGUUGCCGGCUAAUUCCUGGUUGGCCCCACUCUGGUCGAGGUCUCCUAUGCUGCUUGUCCACGUCGCCAGGGCACAGCUGGAGGUACAUCUGCUCUCGUGCAUGUCCAGUGGCACUCGACAGUGUCUGGUGACGGCUGCUUGCGACUAGAAUGGGACUGUGGAGCAGUGCCACGGUGCAGUGUAGCUGGGGCUCAGAAGCAGGAUCUGUUGCCGGCCAUCUCCUGGUUGGCCCCACUCUGGUUGAGGUCUCCUAUGCUGCUUGUCCAUGUCCCCAGGGCACCGCUGGAGAUGUGUCUGCACUGGUGCAUGUCCAGUGGCACUCGACGAUGUCUGGUGAUGGCUGCUUGCGACUAGAAUGGGACUGUGGACCAGUGCCACGGUGCAGUGUAGCUGGGGCUCAGAAGCAGGAUCUGUUGCCGGCCAUCUCCUGGUUGGCCCCACUCUGGUUGAGGUCUCCUAUGCUGCUUGUCCACGUCGCCAGGGCACAGCUGGAGGUACAUCUGCUCUCGUGCAUGUCCAGUGGCACUCGACAGUGUCUGGUGAUGGCUGCUUGCGACUAGAAUAGGACUGUGGAGCAGUGCCACGGUGCAGUGUAGCUGGGGCUCAGAAGCAGGAUCUGUUGCCGGCCAUCUCCUGGUUGGCCCCACUCUGGUCGAGGUCUCCUAUGCUGCUUGUCCAUGUCCCCAGGGCACAGCUGGAGAUGCGUCUGCACUGGUGUAUGUCCAGUGGCACUCGACGGUAUCUGGUGAUGGCUGCUUGCGACUAGAAUGGGACUGUGGAGCAGUGCCACGGUGCAGUGUAGCUGGGGCUCAGAAGCAGGAUCUGUU